AUUCAUUUGUCCCGGAGCCUCGCGUCAGAAACACUUCAUACUUGUACCUCUGGGAUAGGGUCCUGGUGUCGCUCACGUCCACCAGAUGCCUGGAAAGGGGUCCUCGGGCACCGAGCAGCGACCCAAUGAGGCCUCCCUGCUCCUCCUGCACAGCCGCACCGCCACGAACAGGAGCACCGAGAAGAGGAAGAACGACGACACCAAGGCCAACGCCACCACCAGCACCUUGGUCACCAGGUAGCCCGGCUCGGCGGCCCGCCCGGGGCAUCAGCUCGGUGCAGGGCGCGGAGCCGUUCUGCAGCGGGAACAGCACGAAGAGUGAGCUGUCGUUGGCGUCCAGCACCAGCACGCGCACCAGCGCCUCGCUGCUCAGCGCCGUGGAGCCGCGGUCUGAAGCGCCCACGCGGAACUCGAACUCCUGCAGGGCCUCGUAGUCCAGCGACCUGAGGGCGAACAGAAUCGCGGUCUUGAAUGCUGAAAAGAGCUGCAACGGUCUCAGGAGAAUUUUCGCGGAUGGGGCUUGUGAAUGAAGCCAUGGUCAGUUCCGGAGCGUUAUCGUUGAUAUCUACCACCUGUAUUAUGACAGUGCAUUUUCCAGAAAGACCUGCCCCAUCAGAGGCUUUAAUAUCCACCUGAUAUGACACAAUUUUUUCAAAAUCUAGUUUUCUGAUUAUUUUAAUUUCUCCCCUUCGUUCAUUAAGUGCAAAUGUCUUAGAAAUCUCUUCAUCACCAUAAAAAAUGAGUAGAAUAUCUCACCAUU
ensembl:lncRNA novel transcript, antisense to PCDHB5, PCDHB6, PCDHB7, PCDHB8, PCDHB9, PCDHB10, PCDHB11, PCDHB12, PCDHB13, PCDHB14 and PCDHB16